CCGACGUAAUCUGAGAAAUGCGAACUUCUCAUUUUGAUUCAUCCCAACAAAGGCCAAGCAGAGGGGGGAAGAUUCAUCAUCACUAAUUAUGAAACAGUUUUGAUCUGGUUCGCAGCAAUGUUGAUAGAAUCGAACUGUUAUCACUCAUCUAGAGUCUGUUUCUCAGAAAUAAUUCACCGGAAUCGCUUGUCAAACGUAAUACCGUGUGAACAACAACGGAGAUGAUUUUCACUUUGCACGGCUGUCACAGCACAUGUGGUGGCGAAAUAAACAAAAAAAUAUUCAGCAGACACUUUGAGCCAUUGUCACUCCACUGGCUGAUAACAGUGUGGAAAUAGCUGCCUGUCAGGCUGUGUGAUUACAGUGGACUGCUGGUAAGAACACUUCCAGAGGGCAUAUUUAAGACAUGUCUCAUGUUUCAUUUCAACAGUGAAUCAUAAUUUUGCAGGGAGCCGCAUCACUGGUAAGACAUGGCUUUCUUCAUUUGAGCCGAGCGGUGAAAUAUGUUCGCCAAAAUGGGAAAGAAAAGAAAUUAUUCAUGGAAAAUGGAAAUCAAGUGUUAAUGUGAUAAUAUUUCUCUGCCUUUCACAACUAAAAGACAUGAUGAUACAUCAUCCUUAUCCACGCAGCACCUUGAAUCUAGAGGCCGGACCGAAGAAAUGGAAAUGAAAGUGAUGAUUUUUAUUGUCUCUGAGCGACAUGGGGAUGAUUUAAAUUAGCCAUUAACCAGAACAACAAGAUUAUGCUUUGUAAUUAUACUUUUUUUUUCUCUCAAGUAAUAUCAAUUGCAUUUACGCUCAUAAUGAAAAUUAAUCAUAUUUAUAGAUUCACAUUCCAAAGGCGAAGUGCGGAGUUUGCCAAGAAGUAGCAAAGUCACAGAGUUAUCGGUGGUGUAAGUUUGAUCCGUUCCACCGCAGGCUGGGUUUGCUCCAGCUGCCAGUUUUUCUUCCUGGAGGUUAGCUGGAGUAACAUCUGUUGCUACAUCUCCCUGUCAUGUUGACUGAAAAGCUCCUUGAGCAAGGCACCUUGACAAAAGAGGCUCCUCAGCGCCCUCUGAAGCAGAUUAAGUGUUGCCUGGUAACUAUGAGUGAGCCGAACUGAAAGAGCUUCUGGAAAUUAUGCCAAGGCUGCCCGCUUGGAGCAGUUACUUAGCUACCAAAACGCUCGAGUAUGAAGACAUGCUUUCAAAUUAUGGGAUAAACGCUAGGAUGUGCAUGGGUCUGGAGUAAAUGUCUUCACUCUGAAAAAUAAGACAGUUCAGGACCUGCUCCGAUGUCGUCUUCUUCAUUUAAAGGGACUGAUGAGUUGACCCGUUUUGGCCUAAGGAAACAUGGUGGGGAGUGGGUUGGACAAAGGUGGCUAAUGAAGACAUGCUACAGGUGUGGAGGGUGCUAAUGAGGACCAGCCGCCAGAGAAAGAAGCAGAUAAAAUAUUCCCCAAGAUAAUUAGUGACCACAGUGGAUUGAAUCACCACCCACUAUGAGAAUGUCCAGAAGAGAUUCACCAAGUUGGAAUUCACGAAAAGGCUUUCACCAUGACUAACACUGACCACAACCAUUGCAAGAACAGCUAGAAUUUCUGAGCAUUUCCAGACACCUUUAAAGAGCUGCCUCCAGAAAAUCAGGACAACCAGAAGGUCCCCCUGUUAUCAGGGCGUUACAGGAAGGCUGUAACGAAGGAGAUCGCAGACACAAUCAAAGCAUAAAAUGUUAGGACUGUUGAAAGAAAUAUUAAUUACUGUUUUGUUAAAGCUUUUGACAGUGUAAUAACACCUAAUGACAUUAUUAUGACUACUAUUACGACACUUAUGACAUGAUGAUUUCUUGAUUAAUGUCAAGUUGUCAUAACAAAGACAUUUUGAAUAAUGUCAACUGUGUAUUAAAAGUGUCAUGUUUUACUGAAUGACACUUUAUGACAACAGUCAUAAAUAUUCAUGAAGACUUACUCGUGUUCUUGACAUGUUGUUAUGUCAUGUUUAUGACGGUGUCAUGACAGUCUUAUUCACAACCCGUCAAUUAAAGUGUUACCUUUUUAUGUCCAUCAUUAUCUUUUUAAUUCUUUCCAGCUUCCUCUCUUCCUGGAGGAUAGAAAACAUCCACCACACCAUGAUGCUGCCUCCACCAUGUUCAUCAUCACCGCUUUAGGUUGACGUGUAAUGCCUUACUGUUGUUCUCAAGCCUCAGGCCACUGAUUACUAGACAUACAUUCUCAUAACGAAACACGCUGCUGUAUUCAAAAUGUUUUUACGGCUGCAGGACAAGCUUAAGCAGAGAUCAAUUGGCUCUAAUUACAUCUGAGGUUUGCAGUUAGUCUUGGUUUCACUUCUGUGUUAUGAGACAGGCAGCUAUAUUUAGCACACACCUGGUGCUGUGUGUGGUGUUAUUCCUCUCCAGUAAUGUUUCCCUCUGUUCUUUAUGUUAUUUUAUUUUUUA